AGUCUUCUUCUGUCGUACGCCUCGGUCUGCGCAACUCAACCACUCCAUCCAAAUCUGAUGUUUUACAUCUCCCAUCUCCCUCCGAAACCCCCGUCCUUGUCGUCCAUACGCAAUUAGUCCAUGUAUACAGCGAGGGUUUGUGAACACGGUGGCAGCAGUUUCGAGGCCACGGUCAUGGCAGUGGGAAUUCAUUACAGGAGGAUGGCUCACCGGCGUCACGUGCAGAGGGUCGGAGAGAGAGAGGGGAGGAAUGGGUGCAUGGUUUCGUGGUCAUUUCUGAGGACUGCCCAGCUGUAGGGCCGCGGUCUGCCGCUCGGUCUCGUCUUUUACUCCAUCUCUUUCCACACAUACGCCUCCUCUCUUUAUUUCUGUUGCUGUUCCUUUGUUCAUGGCAGACCCACACCCCACUACUCUCUCUCAUCUCUUAUUCCGGGAGAGGGUAAUCAUUUCCUUCAUCAUCACCUCCUAUUGCUGCCUCCGCUUGACUGCCCUCCCUUCCCCCAUGAAAGGAGGCGGAAGUGUUGGGGGAGAGAGGAGGAGGAGGAGGAGGAGGAGGCGGCGGCAAAGGCUGGAUGACCCGGGAAAGGGAAGGACAUGCAGCUCAAGGAGAAGGAAAAAAGGAAGCUUUAUCCUUGAGGGGAAUGUUGUCUGGCUCGAGGUCCUUCGUUUCUCUUACAGAUUAUGCAGAUCUAUGUGAAGAGAUCUCGGACCAGGCUUCAUUCCCCCCAACGAUCGCUUCCGUCUCUCCACCUCUCGAUCCCCGGCACCGAUCGUUCGAUCGACUUGGUUGCGUCUCUAUCUUCGGCUCCCCUCUUCUCUUACUGUGGCUGACACCUUUUCUUUCUUCUCGUUGAGCAGAUAGAUUGGCGUAAUGAUGGGGGUUUACGACUGUCUUUCUUUCUUUCGCGACCUUCUUGUCCAGAUUUCAUCCUGACAUGAGGCCAAAAAGCUUUCAUCAUGACCUCCUCCGAGGGGUUUCUCGUGUUUGCCUUCCUCCUUGCUCCCUGCGAAUCUGCAUGCUGAGUUACCUGCAAGAUUUCCAGGUCAACUGAGUUCAGAUCUCUUUUUCUCCCUUUUGCUUGGGGGCACGUUUCAGCUCAUCUCUUCUCUUCUUUUCUCGUGCUUGUCUGCCGGAACUGUUUAGGGUUCCUAAGAUUAUCUCUAUCUGUGGUUACAUGUUACUCUGCCACUGCCAUGAUAGCUACAAUAUGGCUUAUCUCUUAUCUACAUCAUGCUUUCCUCUUAGCACACUAGAAGAAUCUUUGGACAUGGAAGCAUAUGGUGCCCCUUCCAUUUUGAUACACAGGUGAUUAGGGCACAGUUGCUGGAAAUGUGAUUAGUUGAUGGCAUUUGCCGUCUUGAAACCCCCCCUUUAUCCUUAUAUGGCAGUACAUGUUUCUGCCUAUAUAUUGCCUUGUUGAAACCUGAAUCCACGACAUGUAUGUGUCGUCGUCGUCGUCGUCGUCGUCUUUGACAUACGCAUGUUGACUUCACGUCAUAUUUAUUCCCAUAAAUCUACAAGUGCAAACCUGCUCGAUAUCUUCUUUGAUGGAAACAAGAUGCACGAUCACAUGAACAGCAGUUGUCAUUGCCAUUCCCAUUGCCUAGUUUGCUUGUGCAGCUGAAGGAGGAAAGGCAUAGGCGCAGCAUGAAUCUGGAAACACGUGUGUGGGAAAGGUGGCCAUCCGAAUGAGGUACGGAGGGAUGGGAGAGGCAGAGAGGGGGCUCAGACCACAGCUUAGGGUUUCGUUCGAACACAGGAGGCAGAGAUGGCAGCUUUCGAUUCGGAGACUCCCACACGGAACCAGAAAACCUCAGCCUUUCACUCCCAAUACUUUCCUUGCGAUAGAGAUGGAUUUUGACUGUUUUGUUGAAGGUCAACUUAAGCUUUUGUGGGAAUCGAUGAUGUUUGACUUUGAUUUUGGGGUUCCAUGAAGAGAAGAGCAUUGGAAAUGAUGGACUCUCCUACCUUUCUUUCUCAUCUUCCUUGGCGUGGAUCAGAUCAUCCGCCACCUCCUCAGGUUCAUGAUAUUGAAGUAGCGUUGCGAGGAUUCCUCACCGCUGAAGUAAUUAAUGCAUGUUAUAUGGGUUCCUAAGAGUACUAUUUCUUCUCUUAUUCUUGUAUGUUUGAGUUGAAAUAUCAUUUUAUUGCUCUCCUGUUGUACUACGAUGUAGACUAUACCUUAGCCAAAUCUUUUUUGCAUUGAUGGA